AAAAACAAAAAGACGGUACCACCCUUGACUGACCAAUCACGACAGCCAUCAAGUAAGGCGCCUGGUGCGAUUACGUUAAUCACCAUCGAACACUAUCAUUGACAGAUUUCCGACAACAACGCCGACGUCCCAACAGUAAGAGCAAAGGCUCUGAAAAUCGAGUAGAAAAGAAAAGAAAAGAAAACAACAACAAGAGAACAGUAGAUCUGAGGUGGUGGAAUGGACUGUCUCUUGACUUGUGCCUUGGAUGGUUCGGCCUCCAAUGCCUCUAGUUGCCAACCUAUGAUGUAGUUGUGGAACCCGACUUCAAGUUUGUACUACUAUUGUUUGAGGUUAGGCAUGUGUUUAUAUUUAUUAUUUUUAAUUUUAUUAUUUUUGAACGGUUUAAAAUGAUUUUUUUUUGUUUUGAAUUAAAGUAUAAAUUAGGUUAAUUGUUGUCUUCCUCUUUCAACUUUGUCAACGAUAUAAAAGAAAUCAGUGAUUAAGUCCCUUG
rnacentral:lncRNA from 1 species